GAUGAACGCUGGCGGCGUGCCUAAUACAUGCAAGUCGAGCGAACGGACGAGAAGCUUGCUUCUCUGAUGUUGGCGGCGGACGGGUGAGUAACACGUGGAUAACCUACCUAUAAGACUGGGAUAACUUCGGGAAACCGGAGCUAAUACCGGAUAAUAUUUUGAACCGCAUGGUUCAAAAGUGAAAGACGGUCUUGCUGUCACUUAUAGAUGGAUCCGCGCUGCAUUAGCUAGUUGGUAAGGUAACGGCUUACCAAGGCAACGAUGCAUAGCCGACCUGAGAGGGUGAUCGGCCACACUGGAACUGAGACACGGUCCAGACUCCUACGGGAGGCAGCAGUAGGGUAUCUUCCGCAAUGGGCGAAAGCCUGACGGAGCAACGCCGCGUGAGUGAUGAAGGUCUUCGGAUCGUAAAACUCUGUUAUUAGGGAAGAACAUAUGUGUAAGUAACUGUGCACAUCUUGACGGUACCUAAUCAGAAAGCCACGGCUAACUACGUG
rnacentral:rRNA from 1 species